ensembl:rRNA 5S_rRNA 5S ribosomal RNA
CCUUACGGCCAUACCACCCUGAAACACCCCCGAUCUCGUCAGAUCUCAGAAGCUAAGCAGGGUCGGCCUUGGUUAGUACUUGGAUGGGAGAUCUCCUCGGAAGACCAGGUGCUGUAAGUA